rnacentral:rRNA from 1 species
UAAUGCGUGACCAACCUGCCCCAUGCUCCAGAAUAGCUCUUGGAAACGGGUGGUAAUGCUGGAUGCUCCAACUUGACGCAUGUCUUGUUGGGAAAGUGUUUAGUGGCAUGGGAUGGGGUCGCGUCCUAUCAGCUUGUAGGCGGGGUAAUGGCCCACCUAGGCUUCGACGGGUAGCCGGCCUGAGAGGGCGGACGGCCACAUUGGGACUGAGAUACGGCCCAGACUCCUACGGGAGGCAGCAGAG